GGCCGACUAGCUCAGUUGGGGAAGAGCAGGGCAUGCAGCGCCUAGGUCGUCGGUUCGACUCCGACGUCGGUCC